rnacentral:lncRNA from 1 species
AACACAUAAAUUCCAUCCAACACCAGAAAUAAUAGACUUCACUCCAACCAAUCUGGAUUCAUACAAUUUCUGUAAUCACAGACUUUCUUUGUCAAAACACACACAACUCUCAAUAAACAACAAUCAUAAUCUUCCAUCCAUAAUCAAUCUUCUAAUAAUUUCUCAUAUAAUUCAAUCAUACAAUAUUCUAAUUAUAUAAUCAAUAAUUCAUAAAUCAAUCUUUAAUUUAUUCGACAAACUCAUUUCUCAGUAUUCAAAAACUAUCCAUUACUCUUUAAUAACAAAGAAACAAAGAAGUUGUACUAAGCUUACUCCGACUCAUGACUAUCACAGUCUGGCCUUUAAAUUAACUUCUACAAUUCCUAUAUAUUUU